rnacentral:lncRNA from 1 species
GACCGGCCGCAGGCGCUGCUGUGAGAUGCGGCACCGCCUCUCGCGGUCCAGCCGGAAGUUUGUUUCCGCCGCGGGGUCUUCUGGGACGUGUAGUGUGGCCUGGGAGCGCCAUAGGGCCGAUCGGUUGGCCUUGAUCGCUCAGGCCCGGGCGAGGGGUGACUGCGGUGCGUCCGCCGCAGAGUCGCGGAGACCAGAACACCUGGCCGGCGGAAGGGAUGAUAGAGCGGAGUCUGAGGAGCCUGAAGAAGAGGCAUCCCAGGGCCCUGACAGCAGCCAGGCCUGUUGGGGAGAAGGGCAUGGGGGUGACCCUCCUGCCGCACAAGCUACCCAGCCAGCUUUAGCAUUUACUGGGGACAAACAGAAAGAAGAGCCAGAGGACCUAGAAUCCCUGGCGGAGGUCUGUGCUGUUUGGAUUGGUGUGAUCCUGCCUUCAACAUUGCCCCUCUUUCAAGACCUUACCCACUUUGAGAACGAACAGGACUGGAGUAAAGGCAAAGAUCUGUCCUUCCCUAAGAGGGACCCAGGGCCACAGGCACUGGUCAAGGAUGAAUCAUCUCAUGACCAAGAAGGAAUGAACAAUGAUGACUUUGCUAUAUUCACUAGAGGUUUAAGGUUUUUCUUUAAUAUUAAAUUUCUGAUAUUAAGUCAAGUGUGUACCACAGUUAAGAGUGUUUCCAUAAACAAUAAAAGUCAAA